GGCGGACGGGUGAGUAACACGUAGGCAACCUGCCCACAAGACAGGGAUAACUACCGGAAACGGUAGCUAAUACCCGAUACAUCCUUUUCCUGCAUGGGAGAAGGAGGAAAGACGGAGCAAUCUGUCACUUGUGGAUGGGCCUGCGGCGCAUUAGCUAGUUGGUGGGGUAAAGGCCUACCAAGGCGACGAUGCGUAGCCGACCUGAGAGGGUGAUCGGCCACACUGGGACUGAGACACGGCCCAGACUCCUACGGGAGGCAGCAGUAGGGAAUCUUCCGCAAUGGGCGAAAGCCUGACGGAGCAACGCCGCGUGAGUGA
rnacentral:rRNA from 1 species